rnacentral:rRNA from 1 species
UACGUAGGUGGCAAGCGUUGUCCGGAUUUACUGGGCGUAAAGGGUGCGUAGGUGGAUGUUUAAGUCAGAUGUGAAACCCCUGGGCUCAACCCAGGGACUGCAUUUGAAACUGGAUAUCUAGAGUGCGGGAGAGGUAAGUGGAAUUCCUAGUGUAGCGGUGAAAUGCGUAGAGAUUAGGAAGAACACCAGUGGCGAAGGCGACUUACUGGACCGUAACUGACACUGAGGCACGAAAGCGUGGGUAGCAAACAGG